AUUGAACGCUGGCGGCAGGCCUAACACAUGCAAGUCGAACGAGUGGCGGACGGGUGAGUAAUGUCUGUGAAAUUGCCUGAUGGAGGGGGAUAACUACUGGAACCGGUCGCUAAUACCGCAUACCAUCAGAUGUGCCCAGAUGGGAUUAGCUAUUUGGUGGGGUAACGGCUCACCAAGGCGACGAUCCCUAGCUGGUCUGAGAGGAUGACCAGCCACACUGGAACUGAGACACGGUCCAGACUCCUACGUGAGGCAGCAGGGGGGAAUAUUGCACAAUGGGCGCAAGCCUGAUGCAGCCAGGCCGAGUGUAGGAAGAAGGCCGUCGGGUUGUAAAGUACUUUCAGCGGGGAGGCGUUACCCGCAGAAGAAGCACCGGCUAACUCCGUGCCAGCAGCCGCGGUAAUAC
rnacentral:rRNA from 1 species